GGCCCCGUCGUCUAGAGGCCUAGGACGCCGCCCUCUCAAGGCGGUAGCGCGGGUUCGAAUCCCGUCGGGGCUAC
rnacentral:tRNA from 1 species